UUGGGGCAAAAUUCCAGAGUGAUAUGAUAUUCCAAGAUAGGUUUCCUACAGCUGGAGGAUCAGUUGCUGAAUACCAAGGCCAAGUUCUUGGAGAAGGGAGGGGGACUUUAGAUAUCUUGGAGGAAAUGCACACCUGUUUUUUCUCUUUGCUUUUGAGUAUAGUUUAAAGUUCUUCCUUAACUGGUAUGUGGUCUUUUUUGCAUAAAAUUCUUAUGUGCAGGUAUUUUAUUUCUGUUUUGAAAUUCUGUAAGUUUAUCUUGUAAUAAAAAUCAGUCUGAUAAAACACUAAUCUUAGACUAUUGGCAUUGAUAGCGCAGUCUUCAAGAGAUGGAACCAAACAAUCUUAUUAGAGCGCUACUUUUUUAAGUAGCGAGUUUCCAGAAAUUUGUGAGUAUAGUCUUUCCUGAUGCUACAGAGGACGGUCAGACAGGUUUUAUGUAGAGUUUGUUAGAGUAUGUUAUUGCCUUUAGGAACUGCUGCAGUUUGUUGCUAUGGGUCGUAAUGAAGAUAACAACAUAUGGGACUUGACAUUCACACCAUUUUUUUGUCACCUGUUUGUUGCACGUGCUGUGCAGAUUUACAGUUGAAAUUUUGACUAAAUUUAUUCUCUACACAUUUCCCUUGAGGAGUAGGAGCAGUAUUACUGCUAGUAGUACACGUUUCAGUGUGCUGGUAAGCUGAAGGUUCAUUUCUUGGGUAAGUACACUUGGGUGCACUGUUAGGUGAAAUGUCUUUUUAAAAUGUUUUCCAGUUUUUAAAUGUCUUAUCAAAAUGUUCUUCUGCUUUUUAUACGUCUUUAAAGUUUGCCUUGUUUUAUGUAAUAUGAAUAACAAAUGUUUCUGUGGUAUUGUUUUCAUGGUAAUAAUUUGGCUUGUAUUAAUUAUAAAAUGUCUGAACAUACUUUGGUAAUAAUAUAUCAUGUUUAAGGUUUUAACAGCACUAGCUUUCCCCAAGAAGAGCUUCUGUCAUUGUUUCACUACAGGGCUUUAGUAGCUGCUUUUAUCUUUAGCAAAGAACUUGCAGCAGGGUAUCCCUAAUUUCUGUAGUGUAAUCUCCUUGAUGUGUCUCAGCCGAGCUGCUGGAUGAGAGUGGGAAGGGAAGGAAAAAAACAACAAACCAACUUGAUUAGGUUGGGAACUAUGGUUGCAAUUGAUGCUCAAUUUGGAUAAUUUACAAUUAUCUAUAGACUUUGCCUGUUUACAGGCAACCUUAUUCUUUUCUCCGAAUAAGGAACAAUUCCCUCAUGGUUUUAACAUUUGGCAUGAAAAAAUGAGUCUUUACCAUUCCUCCUCCCUGUUUUUUAAAAUGGCAUGCCUCAUGUAUAUGCCUAUGCUGUCUCCUCUGAAGUGUUAGUGCUUUCUUGUAUUGUUACACCCUUUCAGUCACCUGAAGGUGAAAAGGGAGAUCAGGAAAAGUGCUUGACUUGACCUCUUGUGUUGGUGAAAACUAUCAAAAUGGAGUUAAACAUUAAUUAAAAUUAAAAUUUUUGAAGUUUAAUAUGAGUGUCCACGACCUUGAAAUGCCAGCCAAGAGCUGUGGCUUUGCUAAUGAGCAUUGUGAUGGUUAUAACUGGAUGGGAGUUGUUGCAGACUUCCUUUUUUUUUUUUUUAUCUGUGGUGUCAGAUCCUUCAAGGGUCUUCCUUUUGUCAUGUUUAUUUUGAUAAAUACUGCAUCUGGCACAGUAUCCAAACCCAUAACCUGGUGAGACAGCUGCGUGUGUCAGACUGCCUUGUAAUAACCAUCAGAAUGUACUAGUAGAGGUGAGAUACCAUUUAUCUCCAGUGAAUAUAUGCUGCUGUUUAAUCAGCUACCAAAACUUUCACGUUCAUUUUGAGGAACAAAUGAGUUUUUUAAUUACUGAACAUACUCAGUUUAACUCCAGGUCUGAACAAUGUACCUGUUUGCAACUGUUCAGAGCUAUUAUUCUUCCUGUUUGGGAGAUGGGGAAACUUGCUAUCUUAGUGGAGUACAGCUUGACAGUUUGGUCAGUUAUUGGAGGGGGGAGUGGUAAGCUGUUGGAGGUAAGUUUCCCAAUUUCCCAGUUGGCUCCAGUUGCAGCCUGCCCCGUGUUUUUGCACGCUGGCUGCAAUGGGGAUGCCCGCGCUGCAGUGGGACCAGUGACAGAAGCUGUUCUUUAGAAUUUUCAGGAUGGCUGUUUUCUGCGUCAGAAUGAGACAGUCCUGCUGGGCAGAGCCAACGCCAAGAGCAAAGGAAUGUUUUGCAAAUGUCCUUCUCACUCUUCCCCUCUACAACUGUAGGCGUUCGUUGUGAAACAUCUUUUGGAGUAUACCCAACAGAGUGAGUCCAACCUGCAGUACAGCUUGUUUUUAGUUUUUGGCAUCUUUAUGACGGAAAUAGUGCGAUCUUGGUCCCUUGCGCUAACCUGGGCCUUGAAUUACCGCACGGGGGUUAGACUGCGUGGAGCUAUCUUGACAAUGGCAUUUAAGAAAAUUCUCAAGCUGAAGAAUAUCAAGGAGAAGUCUCUUGGCGAGCUCAUAAAUGUAUGUUCCAAUGAUGGUCAAAGGAUGUUUGAAGCUGCAGCAGUUGGCAGUUUGUUGGCUGGGGGCCCUAUUGUGGCCAUCUUAGGAAUGGUUUAUAAUGUAAUUAUUCUGGGCCCAACAGGCUUCUUGGGCUCUGCUGUCUUCAUCCUUUUCUACCCAGCAAUGAUGUUUGUAUCGCGCCUCACUGCUUAUUUCAGAAGAAAAUGUGUAUCAACAACAGAUGAACGUGUGCAAAAGAUGAAUGAAGUUCUUAAUUACAUUAAGUUCAUUAAAAUGUAUGCCUGGGUCAAACCAUUUUCUCAGAAUGUUCAAAAGAUCCGUGAGGAAGAACGUAAAAUCUUAGAGCGUGCUGGCUAUUUCCAGAGCAUCACUGUGGGUGUGGCUCCCAUAGUUGUAGUCAUUGCCAGUGUGGUGACUUUUUCUGUCCAUAUGAUCCUUGGCUACGAUCUUACAGCAGCUCAGGCAUUCACAGUGGUCACUGUCUUCAAUUCAAUGACUUUUGCUCUAAAAGUAACACCUUUCUCAGUGAAGUCUCUAUCCGAGGCAUCUGUUUCCGUUGACAGAUUUAAGAGUUUAUUUCUAAUGGAAGAGGUUCAUAUGAUAAAGAAAAAACCAGCCAAUCCUCACACCGCGAUAGAGGUGAAAAAUGCUACCUUGGCUUGGGACUUCUCCCACGCCAGCGUCCAGAGCUCACCAAAGUUGACCCCCAAAGUGAAAAAAGACAAGAAAGUAACCAAGGGCAAGAAAGAGAAAAUGAAGCUGCAGAAUGAGGGACAGCAAGCUGUGCUGGCAGAGCAGAAGGGCCAUCUUCUAGUGGACAAUGAUGACCAUCCUAGCCCCGAAGAGGAGAACAGAAUCAUCCACCUGGUUAACCUUCGGCUUCAGAGGACUCUGUACAACAUUGACUUGGAGAUAGAAAAGGGAAAACUUGUUGGAAUUUGUGGCAGUGUGGGGAGUGGAAAAACUUCUCUCAUUUCGGCAAUUUUAGGACAGAUGACCUUGUUGGAGGGUAGCAUUGCUGUAAGUGGAACAUUUGCAUAUGUGGCCCAGCAGGCCUGGAUUCUCAAUGCUACGCUUCGGGACAAUAUUCUUUUCGGCAAGGAAUACGAUGAAGAAAGAUACAACACUGUGUUGAAUGGUUGCUGUCUAAGGCCUGACCUAGCCAUCCUUCCAAAUGGGGACCUGACAGAGAUUGGUGAACGAGGGGCUAACCUGAGUGGAGGACAGCGUCAAAGAAUCAGUCUGGCUCGAGCCCUGUACAGUGACAGGAGCAUUUACAUCCUCGAUGAUCCCCUUAGUGCCUUAGAUGCUCAUGUUGGAAAUCACAUUUUUAACAGUGCAAUAAGGAAGCACCUGAAGUCAAAGACCGUCCUUUUCAUCACUCAUCAGCUUCAGUAUCUUGUUGACUGUGAUGAAGUGGUCUUCAUGAAAGAAGGCUGCAUUACUGAGCGAGGAAGUCAUGAGGAAUUAAUGAAUUUAAAUGGGGACUAUGCAACCAUUUUUAAUAACCUACAGCUGGGAGAGACACCACAUAUUGAGAUUAAUAUAAAGAAGAACACAAACAGUUCACUGAAAAGACCCCAGGAUAAAAGUACCAAAGCAGGGUCUGUGAAGAAGGAGAAAGUUGUGAAGAAGGAAGAGGGCCAGCUGGUUCAGUUGGAAGAGAAAGGCAAAGGCUCUGUCCCCUGGUCUGUGUAUGGCAUCUACAUUCAGGCAGCUGGAGGCCCCUUUGCAUUCCUCGUGAUAAUGGCUCUGUUUGUGCUGAAUGUGGGCAGUACAGCUUUUAGCAACUGGUGGCUGAGUUUCUGGAUCAAACAAGGCAGUGGAAACACCACCGUGACUUUGGGAAAUGACACUGUCAUAAGUAACAGUAUGAAAGAUAACCCUCACAUGCAUUACUAUGCUGGCAUCUAUGCACUGUCUAUGGCAGUCAUGUUGAUCCUGAAAGCUGUUCGUGGUGUUGUCUUUGUAAAGGGAACUCUCAGAGCAUCCUCAAGGCUCCACGAUGAGCUGUUCCGACGGAUUCUGCGUAGCCCCAUGAAGUUCUUUGACACUACACCCACUGGGCGGAUUCUCAACAGGUUUUCCAAAGACAUGGAUGAAGUUGACGUUCGUUUGCCAUUUCAAGCAGAAAUGUUCAUCCAGAAUGUCAUCCUUGUGUUCUUCUGUGUGGGGGUGAUUUCUGGAGUUUUCCCCUGGUUCCUGGUGGCAGUGGGGCCCCUCAUUGUCCUGUUCACAGUUCUGCAUGUUGUGUCUAGAGUCUUUAUUCGAGAGCUCAAGCGUCUGGACAACAUCACACAGUCUCCAUUCCUGUCUCACAUUACAUCUAGCAUACAGGGUCUGUCGACAAUCCAUGCCUACAACAAAGGACAAGAAUUCCUGCACAGGUAUCAGGAGCUUCUAGAUGAUAAUCAGGCACCGUUUUACCUGUUCAGCUGUGCAAUGCGCUGGCUAGCUGUACGGCUGGACAUUAUCAGCAUCGCUCUCAUCACAACCACUGGCCUUAUGAUUGUUCUAAUGCAUGGCCAGAUUCCUCCUGCCUAUGCUGGGCUGGCUAUCUCAUAUGCUGUGCAGUUAACAGGGUUAUUCCAGUUUACAGUCAGACUUGCUUCAGAAACAGAAGCUCGCUUCACCUCAGUGGAGAGGAUUGAUCACUAUAUCAAGACUCUUUCCUUGGAAGCUCCUGCUCGAAUUAAGAAUAAAACUCCCCCUCUGGACUGGCCACAGGAAGGUGAAGUUGUUUUUGAAAACGCAGAGAUGCGGUACCGAGAAAAUCUCCCUCUAGUACUUAAAAAAGUGUCCUUUACCAUCAAACCAAAGGAAAAGAUUGGCAUUGUGGGAAGGACAGGCUCAGGGAAGUCUUCCCUUGGAAUGGCACUCUUUCGUUUGGUUGAACUGUCUGGAGGCUGCAUUAAAAUUGAUGGAGUGAAAAUAAAUGACAUUGGUUUGGCAGAUCUUCGCAGCAAACUGUCAAUAAUUCCUCAGGAACCUGUGCUAUUCAGUGGCACUGUAAGAUCAAACUUGGAUCCUUUCAAUCAGUACAGUGAGGAGCAAAUCUGGGAUGCUUUGGAAAGGACUCACAUGAAGGAGUGUGUUGCCCAGCUGCCUAUGAAACUUGACUCAGAAGUAAUGGAAAAUGGAGAAAACUUUUCAGUUGGAGAGAGACAGUUACUGUGCAUAGCUAGAGCUCUACUGCGUCGUUGCAAGAUUUUGAUACUGGAUGAAGCAACAGCUGCUAUGGACACAGAGACAGACUUACUGAUUCAGGAGACUAUCAGAGAGGCAUUUGCAGAUUGCACUAUGUUAACAAUUGCUCAUCGUCUGCAUACUGUACUGGGUUCUGAUCGGAUCAUGGUGCUAACACAAGGACAGGUAGUGGAAUUUGAUACGCCGUCUGCCCUUCUGGCUAAUGAGAACUCACGCUUCUAUGCUAUGUUUGCUGCUGCGGAGAACAAGGCUGGGAGUUCCUUCAACUUUGUCGAUGCCAGCACUGGCUCUUGCCUGGUCCAGCAGUGACCCAGUUCAGAAAGCUAACUUGCAGAAAGUUCACCUUCCAAAAGCAGGAAUGCUGUACAAAGGAGGAGACAGCAAGGCACACCUGGAAGGGAGGCGAAGCGGGGCUGCUCUUUUUAGAGCAAGCUGAAACCUGGCCCGGGGCCCUGUCACUGACAUGGAAAGAAGAAACAUCAGUAUUUACGAUGAGACUGAAAUACCUCUUUUGAAGUGUUCUACGAGGGGUUGUUGAUGAUGGGAAUUUUCAGAAAUUGGGUCCUGCAUUAGAAUGUGCAGCGUGAUACCUCGGAGAUUUCACCCUGCAAGCUGCAGAAUGAGACUGUAGGACCGGGACGGGGAAUUUCCUUAAAGGGAUCUUACCCAAAAUAGCACGAAGAUAACACAUCCUUCUUAUGUAGCAAAGGACAUGCCCAAGACCAACAGACGGGUGACUUCAGAGAGAUUUACUUCAAAUAAUUUUUGUGUUUGCUGUAUGGGCCUUGGGAAUUUAGUUGCAUCCAUUUUGUUCAGACGCAAGCAAGUGCAACAGAUCCUGAUUCAUUAUCCUAAGUUUAGAAACUCUUAGAAUGUGUUCCUGCUUGUCUGAUCUCGUCUGAGUGGGAACGCUGUGCUUGUUUGGGAUGUCAAUCAAAACGGAGGUAGGAGUUUUCUAAAAUUGCCCAGUGGCAUUAGUGUGCAAUUAGAUUGGUAUAAUUAAUUCCAAAGUCAGGCCCCGAAGUCGUGCCAGUUUGAACGCCUAGGGAAGAUCAUAUACGGUCAGAUCCAGAGGGGCUGGGGCUGUGGUCUGUAUACUGUCCCUAGAUGGAACCCAGAGGAGGUCAAGCAGUCUUAGAACAUUGCUGGGAACAAAAAAGGAGAAAGCUCAAUUAUUUUAAACGGCGAAUUGUAUGAAUGAGACAAGGAGAAAGGUAGAAACAGGAAAGGGUAAGUGCAGAAAAUUCGGUUUACAACAGGAGGAUGUGGAGAGUAAAGAUGUCAGGACAAAAAGUUCCUUUUAAAAAGGGAUUGGAUGAGGACAAAAUUGCUUCUUGAAGAUGCUUCAAAAGAAUAUAAUGAGAGGGCGCAGGGUAGUUGUAGUGUCCUUAUCAGCCAAAGAACGUUUCUGAAUGUUGCCUUGUUAUUUUUUUACUGCAACCGUAGUGUGUUUUACUAUGAUCAAUCACAAAGGUUUUCUUAUAGUCCCAGCUUCAGACUGGUCUGGGAUAAUACUGUGAUUUGUUUUGCCCUUGCUUCAGCUGGAGGUGGCAGCCGCGUUGUGCUGGUGCCACAGUUACCCCUCGAGUAUGACGAUGCAAUGGACACUCAAUUGGAACAUGACGUAACGCUGCUGUCACUAGUGUAAGGCUUGGGAGGCUUUUAGAAUGUACCACUACGGGUUCAUUAAACCUGCAACCAUGUAAUAAAUGUUCCUGUGUCAUCC